UGCAACCCCAUCAGGACCUUUCUGGUGCCCUUCAUUCCACCGGAAUCUGUCAACAGCAAAACCGGAUUUCAGUGAAAUGAAGCUCAUCAGAGAGGCAAGUCA
rnacentral:pre_miRNA from 12 species